AUAUAAAUAUAAAUCCUGCCAGUGAAACAAGGACUCAGACCCUUGUAGCCCAAAGCAAUGCCAGGUACCUGCAGCCCGCUGCCAUCCUGCCCUUUCUGGGACAUGCAGUGUCCCCAGGCCCCCAGAGCUGGGUGUCUGUGCACAUCCUGCUCCAAACCUGCAGCAGAAGACACAGCUCACUCAGAGAAAGGUCCCAAACUGCCUCAUCAGCUGCCCACUCAUGUGAGCAAAUGCCACCACUGGGAGCCGAGGCAUCGCAAUCCAGCCCAGAAUGCUCCUUUGAAGACAUUUCAGCAGCUCAAUUAAGUUUCCACUUGUGUGUUUUCUUUCCCCCCCCUUUGCUUUCAUGGUCAUUUAAAACAAAUAAAGUGAGCAGAACACGGCAGCGUGAUAACCACCCUUUAAUUCCCUUCCCACGGGUCUCCUGAUUAUUUGGUGAUUCAGCGGCAGCGGGGGGAACGCUUACGGAAAGGAGGGUGGGAGCUUCCCACAGGGAUGGCAGCUCACAGCCCCGGGCCCCCGAGCCCUGGGGAGGAAAUACGUGCCUGGGGUGUCCUUUUCAGUGCCGUGGGUGUGCUGGAUGCAGGGCAGAGCCGGGCCCCGGGCGAGCAGCGGCCCCGUUCUCAGUGCCCUCGUUGUUCUCGCAUUGUGCUCUGGGGACGGCACCAGUGCUCGGGAUGUAUUUCACGCUUCUGUGCAAACACAAUAUGAGAUGAAGAAUUCAUACCCUCGCACAAGACCAGAGUGGAUUUUCUCAUAAUAAGGAAAAGCAGCCAGAUCGGAGCCUGCCAAUUCCUGCCCCGUGCUCCCGCCUUCCCUAGGAAGUUCAAACAACCCUGUGCUUUUCAACUGGAGCAGAGAAGUAUAUUGCAUUUUUAAAAAAACCAACACAAAUCCUUUUGGAUCUUUUUUACAUUAUUCCCCCCACCUCUGUCUCGCAGCUGAAGCACUUCUGCCAGCCUGACUCUGGAGCUCGCUCAGCAGCUUCUCCCUUGUGCACUUCAUGGAGAUGUUUCCAUCCCUGGGCGCCAUGGAAGUCCCAACAAGCCACGAGUGGCCAGGACCUGCCGAGGCGUGUUCAUCCAGACACUGGAUCCCUGAAACCUGUGCUUUCCCCAGCACCUUCAUAAAGUGUCCUGAGUUCAAGUGAUUCAGGGAGCACAUUUCUGGACUGUCAGCGAGCUGCAUCCAUCACUCCCCUGAACAUGCACCAGAUUGUUAAUGCUCCAGGCCAAAUACCACGUCUUUUUUAAUGCCUACCAAAUGUAGUGCGUGCUGCUGGCUUUAUAUUUAUAAUAAUUAUUAAAGUAAUGGCAGUAGCUGCAUUCCUAUAGGCUAGAAGUGGCCAGGAACAGACAAAAAAAAAGAUUCAUUGUUCCAAUUAAUGCUCGAGCUCACACCGGUGAUUAAUUAGCCUGGCGAUAGCGCUAUGCAAAAGAUCAGGGUAGCAUUAAUAGGGAGACACGUGCUGACUUUUAAGAUGGUUCCAGCCCUCUUUAGUGCCUUUCCUUGGGCCUGUUUAAUUAGAGGCAGUGGCACGGGCUCGCUCCGCGCCGACACCCCGACGGCAGGCACUGAGGAAUAUUUAUAUGACAGGGUGCCGUGGAAAACUUCAAAAUUAAAUUCCCAUCCAGGUCUCUAAAUAUAAUUCUGAAAUGUCAGAGAUGCUGGGAAGAACGCUGGCGCUGGAUGAAGUUGCUGUCAGGGAGAGGCAAUAGUGUGCCAGAUUUAUACAGGCCUGAAUAGGCAGGUGUUUUUCAGCUCUGGUGUUUAAGGACUGAGAUGCUCUGGAUGUAUUUCACCUGUGGGAGGCACAGGGGCCAACAGGAACACGUGCUGGAGCCUUUCCUGGUGUGGAGCAAGGAGAUGGAGCAGGGGCAGCUCCCAGGAGCCUGUGCGUUCCCAAGGGGCACAAACCAUUCUGGAGCACCAACCUUUGAAGCUCGGAGAAUAAAUCCCACCAGCCCCGCAGUGCAGCCAGCGUUGAGGAGGAGAUCCGCGAGGUUAAAGAAGCAUAAAUACAUAUUGAAAAGGAUGGAUGGCACCCUCGUGUUGCAUCAGGUGUAGAAACACAGGUGUUUGAGUCAUUGCUGCUGGACCGUCCCUGUGCCAAAGUGAUUUAACAGUAAAGGCAGGGAGUGUGCCUCCUCAGCAGGAUGUCACAGCUCUUCAAGGGGGCCUUUCUGGGGACACUUCGGUAAUAAAUUGACUUUAUUAAUCUGCUUUAAUUACCUGCUAAGAUCAGAAUGCUUGCUGCAUUUCUCUGGUGUGUAUUGUAGUUGCAUUUUUCCUUUAGGGGGUGAGUAGUUUGCCCUGAAAUGCAGUUAUGUACGUUUGUGUACACAUUUGUAUGGGCUAAUUAUAACCUCACCAUCAGCGCUGCAAUGUCUAUACAGCAAAAGGGUUGUCACUGCUUGGAAAUGCCUGCUUUGGAGCAGAAAUCAGACCUUUUUUGUGAAAUCAUUUGGUCACAUCUUUGGGGUUUAGAUUUUCAAUGAAUAAUCAAUACCCGCAACAAAAGAUUUAAACAAAAAAAAAGGUGUUCAUUGAAGUUUCUCCACAGGAAAAAAUCGAUCCCAUGUAUUAUUAAAUACAAAGAGACUUAUGUCUUGAGUUUCAUCUCGCCACUGCUUAUAAUAACCCUUCAGAAGCUUGAAGCAGGGCUUUUUUUCAUUAAACAAAAUGUUGGGUCCCCUGAGCAUCUCUCUACUUCAUUACAGGCAUGUGUUGGAAGUUGCCUGUGCCCAGCAGCUCUGGCCUAGAGGGUUGAGCUCAUCCCUGCCCAUGUUCAUAAAAAUGGGAAUAUUUAUUUCCAAAGUGGCUGCAUAAGGAGUGUCAGCACAUGAACAGUGACAGGGAAGCACAUUUUCUGGAUGGCAGGUUUAAACAUCUGCCUCCUGAGCACCUGGCUAGGGAAGUGGGGCCAUGGAGAGGUCACUGGUGACUAAAGGUGCAGUGGGUGAUGCUGCAGCCUCAGAGCAAUCCCCCAUCUCUGUGCAGUUACUGUGCACUUGGACACUUUAGGACAUAACAGUGUCCUAGGGCUGGGAAUACAAGGAUUUCCAGCACCACGAGAAAACCCUAAUUGCUCUGUCCCUUUAUCUUUGGAUUUUCCAGAGGUGGGACCUCAAGGCAGCCAGGCAAACUUGGAAUGAAGAAAUGCUUCAGUCAUAUUUUCAUUCCCCAUGGCCAAGUUCCAGUCUCCAAAAUAGGAUUAGCAGGGUGAGAUACAGCUGAGUUUCACUCUGCCAACCUUCAGCAGCUUCUGUGGCAGCCCUGGGCCUGGCAGAGCUCUGGGGAUGCCCCUCUGUGGAUGUGCCAGGCAGCUCUUGCUGCCUCCAGCCUGUCCUAAGCCAGGCUGUCCCACUGACUGCCCCAGCUGCAGAGUUCUUGUGACAAGCCAGUGCAAACCAUUCCUCCAGCACACACAGAUUUGUUUUGCAGGGUAAAAAUGAGCAGCAAUGCAAAUAUCCUACUCUAUUUCAUUUCCCCCUGUCUUUUUUCCCUCUUUGCUUCAGGAAAGCUGGAGGAGGCAAGGCAGGAUUGACACUUUCUCCCGCCAAGGGCUUUCCCUAAGAUGCCUGCUGGGAACACUCCUGUGUGUUUCUCUUUAGGAGAUCAGUAACCUCAUUUCAGUUUUGCCAGAACAUUGGGACAAAAGCUGUCCUUCUCCCUUCUUGGUCAGGAUAAAGGACACUUGGAGCACCUGUACUGAAAGGGAGAAGGUGAAGAAGCCUGUGAGCAUUCCCUGCCUCCUCUGGUCUUAUGCAGAUUCUAAACACAGGUCUGAACGCGAGCUCGAUGGCAACUCUGUGCUCCGGCUGCCAGGGCUCCAACCGCUCCUCUCCAUCCUCCACCUUCUUUUUCCAAAGUAACAAAGCCAUUGGAUUUCCUCCACCCCUUCCCUGCGCCUCCCCUCCCCCUCGCUGGCACCGGGGUUAUUUAUACAGAAUGUGGAAACAAUUUGCAGGAAAGUGAACAAUGUAAGUGGGAGCGAGGGAAGGGAGGCAAGUUCGUAGUGCACGCUGAGAGCCCCAGCAGUGAAAGGCUGCUUUUUGGGGAGCACAGGGAGCAGACUGGUUUCCUUUCUUCCUUCUCCCCUCUCUCACCAUCUCCCUGAGCUCCUUCCGUCCUGCUGGAGUCGAGGCCAAACCAGAGCAACCAGAUCUGAGUGCGUUUUGGAGGACGUUCAGGUUGGAUCCCGCCCUGCACCGCAGCUCCGUGAGGCGGUGUCUGUGUUCUCAGUCCCCUCGGAGGUUCUGCUCUCGGAUCACUCCUGCUCCUGGAUUAGCAUUAAUGAAGAGCAUGUGUGCUCCAGAGGUCCUGCUCCAGGCCCUGGAGCUGCAGCACUGCCUGGUGUUAGACACAGCUAUUCCCAGGAACAGCUCGGCUCAGAGGACAUUUCUGGGAGUGAACAGGGCAGGAACUUCUUGCAAAGUCUAAUUUCAGUCUUUCUGCCCUCACCUGCUCAGCACUGCAUUUCCAGGGCAUCCCAGCACCUUGCUGGCUCCAUUGGGAGCAUGUCUGUAAAUCCAGCAGUUUCCCUGAGUGCUCUGGGCUGGGGAAGCUGAACCAGCACUCACUCAGCACCUCUGAGCAGUUCUGGGCUCUUCAGGCCUUGCUGUGCGUGGUGAAGUCCUCAAAGGGAGAUAAUCCAAACACACACAUCCUUUGGGGAAGGGCCAUAGGCAUUGCAGAUGGAAGGGAAUGUUAUCCUGGGUUCCAGGUCGGAGCACAGCAGCUGCCCUGGCCACAGCAGGGACCUCCUGCCCUCCUGGGAGUCUCCUUUCCCAACAGCCUCAGCCUUGGGAUGGGAUCUGUGCAUUGUGCUGAGCUGGUAGGGCAGGGCCAGGAAGCUGCCAAGUAGGACAGUGUGGUCCUCCCUAAACCAGGCACAUUCCUGGCUGAGAACUGGUGCAGCUGAUCCACUGUGCUCCAGUGGCACAGAGGGACAGUCAGAAGGAACCUCUGGUGGGCUUUUCCUUCCUGAGAAUCCAUCCUCUCCACUUUCCAGUUCUUCCUGCUCCUUCUUGGUCAUUGUCCACACACACAGUGUGACCUUCCCGUGGAUGUUUGUUCUGUAACCUGCCAUGUCUGCUCUCCCACCUGGAAUGGCAGGUGGUUCUGGGCAGGCUGGGCCUCCCAGAGCUCAGGGCACAGCAGAGCCUGUUCCAAAUGCUGCUCCCUUUAGCCAGUUCUUGGCUGAGUUCACAACUGCAGGAGUAAAGCCCAGGAAGGGCUGGAGCAGACACCUUGGUCACUGAUGUUUUCUGGUCAGGGCAGUUCAGCUCUUUGGGUUCUCCUGAUUCUCACUGACUCUGAGAAGGGUCCAGUAAAACAAUUUCUGUCUUCUCUUCCAAUCCAGGCACCAGCAUGGACUGGGAGCAGACAGAACCCAGGCCCAGCAGAGCUGGGGGGUCACUGGUUCCCACUGCAGCCACACCGUGUCCAGGAGCACAGCAUGAGCCACAGCCUGGCUGCUUCCCAUCUCUGCUCCUGGCAGGAGCCUGCUGGUGUCUGAGCACCUGCCCAGGCUUGUUCCACACUGUGCUUCCCUGCUGGCAAAGGGAGGGAUAGGAGAGAGCUUGAAUCUCUCAGCCUCUGGAGAGAGAGCCCCUCGGGCAGGCUCGGGCAGGAGGGCAGCAGCUCUGCUGCUCACAGGGGCCUCUGGGCAGACACAGACAUCUCCAGUCUCUCUGUGACUCCCAAGGGUCUCCCCUUUACUCCUGCAGAGAUGUGGCCUUGAGUUACACGACAUGGAGAGCUCUCAACCCACUUUUGACAGGUUUGGGCAAAGUGGAGGCUUGAAGCUCCUAUAGAGACUAAUCUGCAGAGACCAGAGGGACCAGGGUAAUUUCAGGGCAACAGCCAUUGGAACACUUGUGCUUUUUCCCUUCUGGUUCUAAAUGUUCAAAUUCUCACAAAAAUGAGACAAACUCUCCUUGCAAUGACUGUGCUGCUGAAAACAUUUGGAAUUUCCUCUUUCAUCUGGUUCUUUCUUUUUUUUGAAAUUAUUUUGAGGGUUCUUUAGAUGAGAACAGAUUUGCAUUCCUCCCUCCCUGCUGCUCGCUUCCCACCUGAAAUCUUCGGCUGCUCUCUGCAGUUCCCAACACAAUGGUGAGCGAAAUCCUGAACAGAGCAUUCAAACUUGAGGUGAGCAAAAGCAACAGCAGCAGAUGGGCUUGUAAACAGCAGAGACCUGGCUCAGGCACAGAGGUCCUGGUGGAGCAGGAAGGAGCAGGAGGGUUGGUAAACACAGAGCAAUUUCCAUUUUCUGGGCUGAAAUGUGGGGAUCUGGGGAGGGGAGGGCGGUGCAGAACAGCAGCUCUCCCAUUCUGGCACAGUCAGCUCUUCCCAGCAGAAGCUGUUCCUGUCAGAACUUGCAGCAAAUGGGAGAAGAUGGGAAAGUGGGGGACGUUUUCCAGCAUCAGGGAAUUUGUGGGUGAUGAAAACAAGAUUUCCAGCAGCACUUUUGCACGAGUCUUGGUUUCUAAAGAGGUAUCCUGCUGUUUUCCUGCCAUUCUUCCUUUCCCUGGAAUUCCUUCUGAAACUCAGACAGCAGACUUGGGAGAAACUUCACCGAUACAAAAUUCCCCAAAAGUUACCUGAAAGUUUGCAGGUGGACAGAGGAAAAAGAAACCCAGAGCAGAGUCCCCACAAGUGAAAGGAAAAAGCAGAAUAAGGAGGCUCAGUUCCGCAGUUUAUUGAGCCCAGAGGGAUUUCUACAAACCACAUGGCAUCAGGUGUGAAAGAAAUGAGGAAUGAAAACCAACAUGGAACAACGGAGCAGCCCAAAACUCUCACAGGCCAGCGAGGCUCCAGAAAGGUUGGAGAGGCUUAAACAGCCCCUUAAGGGGCUGGCCAUGAGCAGCCUCUGCACCUUGUUCUGUCAGGAGAAAGUCCUGAGUCGUGUCAUGGGUGUUCUUGCCUUGGACAGGAAGACUCUGCACGUCCUGUGGAGCCAGGAUUCAUGGAAAACAGAGACUGAUGAAAGAUGGUUCUGGGCUGGGGUUUUGGAGAGGUUUGUGCUUGAGCUGGGGUUGAAGGGCUGUUGUUUCUGUUUUUCUUGGGGAUUGGGAGGGGAGAGGUUACUGAGUCCCUGAACCUUAAUGUAACAUGAUUAGAAUCUGGAACAGACUCCAAACCAGACAUUUAGGGACUACUAAAUGUACAAAGCAGCUUGGAUAUCUAUUACCAGAGUUCAUCCAGUCCUGGAAAAAGCCUCUGAAAUGGGCAGUGCUUUAACAAAGUACAGAUGUCUGGGGACUCAAAAUACAAGGAAAAAUUAUGAGGAGGAAGAGAUAACACUUUCUCCAUUUCUUAGAGAGGGAGAAAAUGCCAGAAAGUUAUUAACUUUAUUCCCAGGACUGUGGUAGCUGGACAGGGAUCCAAGGUUAAGGUGAUCCCCAUGACCUGACACUUGCAGAACAAGUGGGUUCCCUGCAUCCUGACACGAGGAGUUCUAGGCAGAUCUGUAAUCCCCAGUAAUAACCUCAGAGGUUAAUUGGCAUCUGGAAAUUAGUUUAUUAGGUAGGUGGGCUAGAGGGGGUUUAAUUAUGUGUUUAGAUCAGUGUUGCUUCAAGCAUUAAUUUUGCCUGAGAAAGGAGGGUGUAAUGUCAGGAGCAUUUUCACACUUUCACACUGCUUAGAUUGAGCCAGGGGGGACUGGAGAGAGCCCGUGCACUGUUGGGGAGGAUGGGAAUGAGCUCUGAGCAAAAGCAUCUCUUUGUUGUUUUGGGCCAAAAUUCCCUGGAUUUCGUGUAAGGCCCAGUUUCCUGAGAAUGGCACUCAGCACUUUUUGGACAGUCAGGUUGUCAGAAGGAGUCCCUCUGAAAUACACGUUAGAUUUCUUUCUUUGGGCCUUAUUUCUCUUUUCUGCUUUGUGUCAUAUUCUCCUCGCAGCUUUCCAGAGCAGAGUUACUCUUCCACUUGUUCCCUUUUGCCUCCUGCUGAGUCAAUUCCUUUCUUUUCCAACAUUAUUUGUACUGUAGUCACUCCCAGAAUCUGGGAAAUCAUCCUCAGAAGUCUCCCCAUCUCCUGAGCUUACUGCCAACUCUCCCACUAAAGCUUUGAAUUCUUUGUUAUAAAGAAGAAUAAAAGGCCAGCAAAGUGCACCUCGACACCCAUUCAGGUGCCAUUACCCUGUAAUUCUUUAAAAACUCCACGUGCAUUUAUAGUCACUGGGAAGUGCUGGACUGGGAAGGCUCUGGACUAAAUUGGUGUUAGCACAUGAAAGAGAACCAGUCCUGCCUGGGCAGCAGGCUCUGGGCAGGUUUGGUCACCGGCUCGCUCGGUGGGCUCGGGACAGUCAUUGCCUGCCUGUGCCCCUGCUGGCAGUGCCCAGCUCCAGCUGUGCCCUUUGCAUGGGGAGCUCCUCAGGACACAGCCUGUCCCCCAGCCGUGGAGCUGCAGCAGAGCUGAGGUGAGCAGGGAACACAAACAGGGAUGAGAGGAAUGCCAGACAGCAGGGCAAGGUUCCCAGACACGCUGCCCUGUGAGCACGGCUGGAACCCCAGUGCUGCAAACUGUCUCUGCUCCCAGCCUUGCCUUCUCUCUGCCAGCCAGCAAAACGUUCAUCACUUCCAAAUACAGCAGUGAGGUGAGCUGGCAGCUUCCCAGUUCCACUGGGAAAUAGGAAAUUACUACACUCACUUUGCAAACUCAAGCAGAGCCUGAUCGGACCCUCCAUCCUGCCUGGAGCUGCCACCUCCCUGCAGGUGAAAAGCUCCUUGUGUUUCUGAGCCAUGCCAUGCCAUGCCAUGCCAUGCCAUCCCAUCCCAUCCCAUCCCAUCCCAUCCCAUCCCAUCCCAUCCCAUCCCAUCCCACCCCACACCAUCCCACUCUGCCCGUGCUCCAGCCUGCUCCAAUUUGCCAGCAGAGAAAUCCAUUUUCUCCCCUCCUCCCUUGUUUGAGGAGCUGCAGACCCAUCCCUUGGCUUUCCCUGUUCUCUUCAGGCUUUUCCAGAGCCCUUUCCUCCUGCUGUUUGUUCGUUCCCUGCACUCCAUCCCAUCUUUUGCCUCCCUCCCUGGUUUGAUGCAGCAUCUCGCUGGUCCUGCCUCACACUCUGAGCAGGGGUAUUAGAUGGAUUCCCCAUAGAGUAUAAAUUGAAUGGAGAGAAGUGGCUGGUUUCCCAGCAAUAAUUUAUCUGAUUAAAAAAAUACUCCCCAAACUCCCCCUCCUCUGCCAGUCCUACGCCCCCUCCAAAAAGCCCCAUUGGCAUCAGGGCUGGUGUUUGAACUGUGUGAUUCAAAUUGCUGGAAGAGGGAUUUAGAUAGGAAAAUAACUGGCAAAGGAUGGUUCUUAGGGGAUUUUCCCCAGAGUGUCAGUGCUGAAAUUUGGAACCUGGGUUGUUGUGUGGAGAAGGCAGAGAGUAAAUAAAUAACUGUGAGUCAAGCACCUGGGUGAUUUGUACCUUUGCCCCCACGUGCCCAAGGCCGGAUGCACACGCGUGUGCUCUCACACGUGUCUGCCCACCACACACCCUGCAUGGGGAGCCCAGCUCCCAAGCACAGCAAGCUGCUCCUGCUGUUCCCUCUCUCCUCUUUUCUUACCUCAGGGUGGUUCCAAAUAAAAGAAGGAAUCUGCUUCAUGAAGUGCAUGUCACCUAAAAGAAGCAAUCUGCCUCACAAAGUGCGUGUCACCUUGUUUGUUACUUGCACGGGCUUCAUUCCUUCCAAACCAUUUUCUUCUCCAACUUUCCCUUGCUGUAAUUAUGGGAUGGAAAAGUCACCCCAAGGCCCCUCUGGGCAGGGCCCGGGCAGUGGUUUGGCUGGUGCCUGUUCCUGUGUGGGGACAGGCAGGUAUUUGCAGGUAUUUACACCCCAGUGCUCCCAGACCUCGGGAUUUACAGCAGGGGCUCCGUGGUGCUGCCAGGGCAGCCCUGCUGCUGACACCCUGCACACCACAGCAGGGGCUGGCGUGGCCCCAGCUGCCCGGGCUGCUGGGCAUUCCUCUGCUCACAGCUGCUUUUGGCCCCUGGUGAAACGGGAAGGGCCCGGCUGCAGCUUUGCAGCCUGGGAGCACCCUCAGCCAGUGGCCAGGGCUCGGCUUUCCUGCCUUGGACAGGAGGGCUGCUCAGAAGGAACCUCUCUCCGCUCCUGCUGGAGGAUUUACACUGCCACAAGUCCUCAUUUUUUCCAGAUGUUUUACCUAAUAAAUCAAGGAGUCUCAUCAGAGGAUUGGGAUCCAAAAGCUGUUACCAUGACUUCAAAGGCACAGGCUGGAGUGGAAAGAAGUGGUGCAGACAUUUUAUACCACUCUGUAUGCACUGAUCAUGGAAAUGCACUCUGCUCCCAGGAUUUUUUUCCUGUGGAUAUGAGAACUCCAACCAUGAUUAAAUAAAAUGGUGCUGUGCUCCUUCAGCCAACCUUUGCUGAAAAGAAUGGAGCUGCAGGAGCCUCGGGCUGGGGCUGGUCCUGAGAGGGGCUGAGCUCUGUCAGCCCCUGUCCAAAAUCCAGGACCAUUAACUCAGGGUUGAACUCACUCCAUCUUUUCAGAUCAAUAUCCAACUGCGUAUUUUCUCCCAGUGCUGGUUUAAGCAAUUCCCACAUAAAGGAAUCAGAUGUUCAUCUUCUUCAGAUGUUGGGAGAGAAAAAGAUAAAAAGAGUUACAUGGCUGUAAAAUGUGAUUGUGACUAUUCAGACCAGUUUGUUCCUUGAUCAAGAAUGUAAUUUCUUUUUUUUAUAAUGUAGUGAAGGCUUGCUUUUUACAGUGUCUACAUGGUGUCAUUUUCUUUUGCAGUUCCAUUUCUAAAGAUAACUGUGUUUGGAGAAGCUGUUACGUGUUUCUGUCACUCCAUAACACAGGGUGCUGCAGGAGAACAGAAUGAAGAAAAGCAGCUGAAGAAAGGAAAGCUGAUCCUCUGACUUCAGAAAAAUUGCUGCUUGCCUUCCCACCCCCACGAGGCUGAAUCCCAGCACCCCAGAUUGUCGUGACUGCCUGGGAUUGGUGACAUCUCCAGUGAAAUGUGUUGGAGCAUCCAAACAGAGUGGGAGAAGCACAGCCUGGCUCUGGGAGCCAAAAAUAGGAGUUCCCCCACACAUGUGACUCCAGCUGUAUGACCCAACACCAGCUGACCUUUCAGGUAUCACACACAAAGGGCCAGGCUGUGCUGCUGUUGGCUCCUGCCAUGGGCAGAGGUGAGGUUUUGAGGUGUGCUGGGAUCCCUGGAGUGAUGGGCUGUGUUUUCCAGGCAUCCUCUGCUGUUGGUCUAAGGUUAUUUCUUUGAUUUCCCAAGCCUAGAGGCAAAUGACCAUUUCUGUGUCCUGAGCAUCAUUCUUUUCCUUUUGUUCUUAUCCCUUCUCCUCUCCACAGUUUUCCUCUCACUUUGAAUUCUCUCAGACUCCCUUCCCCUGGCACAGGAGAAAAUGUGAUAGUGUUUACAGAGAGCACUGGGACUCAGGAGAUGUGCAGGGUGGCCCUGCUGGCUCUACCUCCAACACCUCUCCAUGGCUCUGACUUCCUGUCAGGAUACCCUGGACUAAAACCCCUCUGCACUUUUCCUGUGUGAUCCUACGGUGUCUAACACAACCUCAGGUAAGACCUUUAGGCAGGCAUUAUAUGAAUGAGAACAAGAUUGUUGGUGUCAGUAAUUAACAUUCUUGUGGGAUUGUUGGAAAAGCUUUGGGAUAAACACCACCUGGAAUCCUUGCCUGGCUUCUGUGGUUUUUAAGAUGCAGAGGAGACUGAUCCUGUUUGCACGAGAGGGCAUGGACCAUCUGUCUCCUCUCUUACUGGAUGUGCAGAGUCUUUGAGUCCAAAGAUCAGGUGUUGUAGCUCAGGGAGAUGUGGGACACUGGAAAAGUGAAGGCAUGGACGGUGGGGAAGCAGAAUGAAGUGGUCAGUGUGUCCCCAGUAAUGAUCUCAUCUGAGAACAAGGACUAAUGACAACCACCAAAACAGGAAAAUGCAGUCACUGUGAGCACCUGUGGCACGGUGUCAUGCCAUGACAGGCUUCCAGAGAUGAAAUCAUGCUACUGACAGGGAUGACAAAAAUCCCAUUGACUGCAGUAACAUCAGCCUUUCCCCUUGGGGGUUACCUGCAUUUCUCUCCUUCUGGAUACCCAGAGACCCAUAUCCCACAUCAUUAUGCACUUCCUGGUAACAAGUACAUUAUCCUUUUCUUUUAAAUUGAGGAUUGGAUUCCAGUAAACCCUGCAUUUUGGAUUCUAGGAUCCCUCCAUCUACCUCUGAAAACCCUAAAUAAACAAACAUUGGAUUAGACCUCAGCAGUCCCUUGCUCAGCAAGGGGAGCCUUUAAAAGCAUUUUACACCAACUGCCUGGUUUGUGUUUCAGACUCUGUCACCUGGCACUCAAGGAGCUCCACCUUCCUCUCAACCAUCUCAGGGAACUCACCUCAGUGUUUGGAAGGUCUGCCUCCAUUUAUGACCCUCCCUGAUUCCCGUGAGGAGCUGGAGCUGCUGUUGACCUCAGGAAUGCCAGAAGUAUAUGCUGGGCUUGGAGGGUUUCUGGCAUAUGACCUGCUAACCUAGAAUUUGCUGGACAAAGUGCAGAGGAUGACUUUUAACCUCAGAGCAGUUUGCAAAACCACAUCUGUGACCAAUAAAUGUAAAAAAUAAAUGAAAAAAUAAAUCUAUCCGCUAUUGAAGGAUGAAAGACAGCACACCUUGCUAGGCACUGGUGCUGGAAUCAGGAUGGAGAUUGGGAAUAAUCAGACAGGCCAUGUGCCAGAUGUUGCCCAUGGAUGGAGGCAAUGCCUCACACAAGGGAGGCAGCACAGCAGGUUAAGCUGAAGGUAUCUCAUAGCUCUAAGUCUUAAACUUAACGAGCCACGUCUUUAUUUGUGCUGCAGCCCCUUCUCAUCCCAAAUUGCCUUUACCAGCUGCCAGAGGAUGCCUGGUAACGGAAUAUUCUCUGGAUAACAAUAAAUUGGUGUAACGAUUGAGUGUCACCUCACAUCCUGCUAAGCAAUAGAGAAAUCACGAGGAGAAAAAGAGGCACGACCAGAGUGGCACUGAACAGUGCAAUCCUAAUUCCAUCACCCUUCUUGCGGGCGACAGAUAACCCAGUGCAAUUUCCAGCCGCUCUGAAGCGGCUCCAAGUCUCAGCAGGAGCUGGGAAAGCUCAGUGUAGCCUCGGGACUGAGGAGUCACAAAGAUCAGGGGAGUUGUUGUUCCAUAACCUUGCCUCUGCACCAAAACCAGGGGGCUGCUUCGGAAUGGGAAGCACUCCAAGCAAAACACAAAAUUUGAAUCACUGAAAUGAAGGUCCUCCUCUGGCUCUCUCUCUGGAGAAUAGUCUGUCUCUGAUGAUCGUGCACAGACUCCCAAAGAAGGUAAAUUUUGGAUUUAAAUCUCUAUGUCAACGUGUGAAUGACAGCGUUAAAUCUUGGCUGUACGGCUGAGAUAUCUCCAAGAGGAGAAAACCACUUUUUCCACUUAAGUGGCUGAGGUAGAGGAGGUAAAUAUAUUGUCUCCCACUAUUAAAGGGCGAGGAAAUCAUUUAUAGAUGUGUAUUACACCUUUGCACCUAACAGUGGAGUUCUUUUUUAAAUUCAAGAGUCUGAAAGUUUAGAAAUACCAACAUUAAGGUGGCCUAUGCAACUGUAAUUUGUCCCUUCCAUGCAUUUGCAUUAUGAUACAGUAUUUAAUUCUAAUUAGAUCACACGCUGUUCUUUCAACAGGUUCCUGGCCUCACUCAUUGUACAGAAUAGACUGUGCUCACUAAGUAAUAAUUUUAUUUUCUCCUCGCUGUUCACUGUGUGGCCCGUGCUUUAUUUACAGCAGACUAUUCAAAUAUUGUUCUGAAGACAGAUUUAUUCAUUUCCUCCCGAGCUUUUCCAUGGGACUCAUCACUAUGGUAUCCAAGUGCUUCACAAACUCUAAUUCAUUUUCUCAACACUGUAGUGAGAACUGGUGUUGCCCUUAUUUUACAGACGAGGAACUCGGGUGUACAGACAGAAUAGUAAAAAAUAUCUUUUCAUUUCAGAGAUCCAAUUAGAAAUACUCAAUGGCCUGAUUUUGUCAGAAAAUAGAACAUGGCCAGGCAUCUAAUUGAGUCAGAAGUUGUAUAAAUUCUCAGUUAUUGCAGAUUUAUCUGCAAGAGUUCUUCAUUUCUGCAAGUCAGGCUUCAAAAUGUCAGCCCAGGCACCUGGGCAGUGCUGACUGCACAAUUAGUGCAGCGCUGGGCAGGCUCUGUUUAGGGACUCUGCUUUGCAUCCCACAGAUUCCAGAGGCCAAAAAUCCUUUCUGGGAACAGUAGUCACCUGCCCCACCCACAGCACUAUGCUUGCUUGCCCAGCAGUUCCUCCCAAGGUGCAUAAAAUACUUACAUCUGAUUUUUGCAGUAAAUGAGGUGGAGGUUGUUGAGGUGCUUGCCUGGGUUCCCUGACCUUGGUUCAGUGUCUGAGCCUGGCAUAUCCUCCUGCACUGGCUGCCUUUAUCCUGGUGUUUGAUAACUGGGGAGUGUGUUACUGUGCAGCCUGAGUGCUGGUGCUUUAUUGAAUAUGUACUUCUUUCCCAAGUGGAGAUAACCCCAGUAAUGUAAUGCUGAGUUGACAUCGAUGCAGGCCAUCAGCAAUGUGGAAUUUCCCUCUGUGAGGAAGGUCAAGGUUGGCACAAGCUCCAGCACUCCAGGGGUGAGGUACAUUCUCAGUGUAUUUCAGGUGCCUGCUGUUUUCCAGGUGGUCUUCAUUCCCAUUCCCAAAUGCUCACCUUUCUGCUCUGCCUCCCUCCCCCAGUUUCUGUCAUUCCCAUCACUGUCUCUAGUGAAUUCCCUCUUCCCACAGGCCCUGUUGCUCCCCACACCCAGCUUGGGGCCCUUUUCCCUUGCCCCACUCCAGCUCUUCCAUCUGAUCCCCUUCUGAGCCCAGCAAGCUCUCCCUCAGACCGUGACCAGAGCACAGGGACAGCUCCCAGUCCUGCCAGGCUGCACGUCCUCCUCCUCCCAGCAACUUCUCCCAUUUCCACUCUGGUUUAAAGGCUUCUCCCAGCAGCCUGCCUUCCAGACUCUUUCUUAUGAGCUUUGCUUUAUCCCUCCCUCCAGGCAGACCUGUUUUUCCUUCUGGCUCCUCAUUCCCUUUCACCACCCAGGAGAACCUGUCUCUCUCCAGAGCCUCUGUGCCUGCCAACUUACCUGUCCCAGACCCAGUUCCUGUCCCCACUGUGUGUUUUUCAAGGAGCUUCCUGCUCUGUGUUUCCCAAGAAGACUGGAAGGAUGGGUCUGCCCUUCCUACCUGAAGGCAUGGCAUGGUCCAGAGCAGCCAGGAACUGGGGCUGCAGGUCCAGCUCGGAUCCCACAGCCCUGGGCUGUGAUGAGGAUGGAGCUGCUGGGGACUGGAA